rnacentral:tRNA from 1 species
AGCUUUAUAGUCAUUGAAUGAUAUAAAAUUGCAAAUUUUAAGGAAUAAUGAAAUUAUUUAUUAAGGCUU